rnacentral:misc_RNA from 1 species
AAUGCCAUGUUGUCCUUACACAACAUGUCGCGUUCACAGAAGAGUUACACUUAUGGAAGAUUCAUCCCAAAACAUCCAUCUUCGCAACUUGUCUAUGCAUCCUGCAAGCAGCGAAGAGGAGGCACUCAAUCUUCUAUUCCUUGGGGAUACGAACCGCAUGAUAGCCGAGACGCCCAUGAAUCAAGCAUCCACUCGGUCUCAUUGCAUUUUCACCGUCCACAUCACAGCGCGGCAAAACGGUUCAGCCACGCUGCGCAAAGCAAAGCUCAACCUGGUGGAUUUAGCUGGGUCAGAGAGAGUGUACAAGAGCAAUGUGGUUGGGCAGCUGUUGACUGAAGCCAAAUACAUCAACCUUUCUCUGCAUUAUCUUGAGCAAGUCAUCAUUGCCCUGUCUGAGAGAUCACGCUCUCAUGUUCCCUAUAGAAACUCCAUGAUGACAUCUAUGCUGAGAGAUAGCCUUGGUGGCAACUGCAUGACAACUAUGUUAGCUAACCUUGCCUGUGACACCAGGAAUCUUGAGGAGACGAUUUCCACGUGCAGGUUCUCACAGAGAGUGGCCAUGAUAAAAAAUGAAGUCGUAUUAAAUGAAGAACUGGACCCACUCCUUCUCAUCUCCCAACUGAAGAAAGAAAACCAACUGUUGAAGGAUGAGCUAACACUAGUCAAUGGUGCUGAAUGGCUGCAGGAACUAAAUGAGGAUGAGAAGUUGAGGUGCACACAAGCAGUGAAGAGUUAUGUUGAAGAUCAGUCUACAGAUGAAAUACUAGAUGUUGGUGCAGAUAUGAGGAUGAUACUGCUGUGCUUCUCUCUUCUCAAGAAUAUCAUUAAGGAUAUGAAGCUAACCUGUUUAAGCAAAGAGAAGAUACAAACAGCUCCAUGCGCACCCAUUGCAUCUGGAGAGUAUACAAUGCAAAAAGAGGAUGAGAAAUUGAAAGACCUGCUGCAGCAAAGGAACAGUGAUAUAACAAUUCUGACGGAUUUGUUAAAAAAUGCAAGGCAUGGACCUGAUGGUAUGCAGGUGUUAACGUCAACGCAGCUAUCAGAAUGGACAAGGAGAAAAGUUGAAGUGAAAAGAGGCACCUCCGGUGAUUCCCCACAGGACUCAGGACAAUUAAGAGAAGCUUUCACAAGGUUCCGCAAAGAAUAUAAACAUGAGGAGGAAAUUGAAAGCAAGAAAAUGCAGCUAAGGACCAAGUAUGCAGAAGCUAAAGCAUUGGGAGAACAGGUUAAUCAGGCCAGAAACCUGAUCAAUGACUUGAAAUGUAAGCUACAAAAGUAUCAGAUGAGCAGAGCAAUGCAGGGGUUCAACCGUGAAGCCAACUUGGACAGUGCAGAAACAGAUGCCAUGGAAACGUCAUUGAGAGCUGAGAUGCAGGCAGGGAAGUGCAGGUACAAAGAAAAAUUUCAGCAACUUAGAGGCUUGAAAGCAGAAAUUGAACACUUGCACCACCUGUUGGAGAAAUCUAGAGUUAAAAUACAGCAAGAGUUCGAGACGUGGUGGAGCCAGCAGGGCAAUGCGAUGAAGGUUUGUAUUGAUGUUAUAGCCGACUCCGACAGUGCAUAAUUUACUAUUGCAAGAUUUUCUAUCACACUUAGUUAUGCUGAGAGGGUCUAUGUCCCCCAGGGUACUGCCGGAACGUCCGGUAUACCGGAACAUACCCUGGGUACGUUCCGG